rnacentral:rRNA from 1 species
AUGUUGCGGAAGUCCGGCACCCAGCGCCGGCAGCCGGCGCUGUGGCGGCGGUGCCGUAGCCUCCGCCAAAUCAAGCAGGUCCACACCCUCCUGGUCCUCCGGGGCUUCCUCUCGGACCCCUCCGCGCUCCGCGAGCUCCUCUUCGCGUCCGCUGUAGCCGUGCGCGGCGCCAUCGCCCACGCCUACCACGUGUUCGACCAAAUCCCGCGCCCGGACCUCUUCAUGUACAACACCCUCAUCCGCGGCGCCGCGCACACCUCCGCGCCCCGGGACGCCGUCUCCCUCUACGCGCGCAUGGCGCGACUCAGCAGCUGCGGCGGCGGCGUGAGGCCCGACAAGAUCACCUUCCCGUUCGUGCUCCGGGCGUGCACCGCCAUGGGCGCGGGUGGCACCGGAGCGCAGGUGCACGCGCACGUCGUGAAGGCUGGACUGGAGUCCGACGCGUUCGUCAAGAACGCGCUCAUUGGCAUGCACGCGAGCUGCGGAGAGCUGGGUGUUGCAGGUGCUCUGUUUGACCACAGGGCGCGUGAGGACGCCGUGGCGUGGUCGGCGAUGAUCAGCGGCUGUGCAAGGAGAGGGGAUAUUGGUGCUGCCCGGCAGCUGUUCGACGAGUGUCCUGUGAAGGACCUUGUGUCCUGGAACGUGAUGAUCACCGCGUAUGCCAAGCGGGGAGAGAUGGCCCCAGCAAGAGAGCUGUUCGACCAGGCACCUGAGCGUGAUGUCGUGUGCUGGAACGCCAUGAUCUCUGGGUAUGUGAGAUGCGGCUCGCACAAGCAUGCCAUGGACCUGUUUGAGCAGAUGCAGCGCAUGGGCAAAAAGCCAGAUGUUAUCACAAUGCUGAGCUUACUGUCAGCUUGUGCCGACUCCGGUGAUUUGGAUGUUGGCCGAAGGUUGCAUUCCUCUCUUUCAGAGAAGUUCUCAGGAACUGGUUUUACUGUCGUCCUUGGCAAUGCGCUGAUUCACAUGUACGCAAAAUGCGGGAGCAUGAAGAGUGCACUGGAGGUGUUUUGGGUGAUGCGAGAUAAGGAUGUCUCAACUUGGAACUCUAUCAUAGGAGGUUUGGCAUUGCAUGGUCAUGCCCUGGAGUCUGUUGACGUGUUCAAGAAAAUGCUGAAAGAGAAAGUCCGGCCUGAUGAGAUCACCUUCGUCGCUGUCCUUAUCGCAUGCAGCCACGGCGGUAUGGUUGACAAGGGACGUGAGUACUUCAACUUGAUGCAACAGCAGUACAGGAUUGAGCCCAAUGUCAAGCAUUACGGUUGCAUGGUUGACAUGCUGGGUCGCGCGGGGCUUCUGAAGGAAGCAUUUGAGUUCAUUGACACCAUGAAGGUGGAGCCUAAUUCUGUCAUCUGGAGGACGCUUCUUGGGGCUUGUAGGGUCCAUGGUGAGAUUGAACUGGCUGAGCACGCUAACAGACAGCUGCUAAAGGCAAGGAGCGAUGACAGUGGGGAUUAUGUGCUCCUCUCGAACAUCUAUGCUUCAGCUGGAGAAUGGUUGGAGUCGGAGAAGAUGAGAAAGUUGAUGGAUGACAGCGGUGUCAACAAGGAGGCAGGUCGCACGGUUGUAGAUGGCAGCACAAAGGAUCCACUGCAGUCUUUCAGACGGUCGAAAUCACAUCCUGGACUGAAAGGAUUUAUUGGUUGA